GACGAACCGUCCAAACGUUAUUCGGAAUUACUGGGCGUAAAGGGUUCGUAGGUGGCCAACUAAGUCAGACGUGAAAUCCCUCAGCUUAACUGGGGAACUGCGUCUGAUACUGGAUGGCUUGAGUGUAGGAGAGGAAUGCGGAAUUCCAGGUGUAGCGGUGAAAUGCGUAGAUAUCUGGAGGAACACCGGUGGCGAAGGCGGCAUUCUGGACUACAACUGACACUGAGGAACGAAAGCCAGGGGAGCAAACGGGAUUAGAUACCCCGGUAGUCCUGGCCCUAAACGAUGAAUGCUUGGUGUAACGGGUAUCGAUCCCUGUUGUGCCGAAGCUAACGCAUUAAGCAUUCCGCCUGGGGAGUACGGUCGCAAGGCUGAA
rnacentral:rRNA from 1 species